GAUGAACGCUGGCGGCGUGCCUAAUACAUGCAAGUCGAGCGAACGGACGAGAAGCUUGCUUCUCUGAUGUUAGCGGCGGACGGGUGAGCAACACGUGGAUAACCUACCUAUAAGACUGGGAUAACUUCGGGAAACCGGAGCUAAUACCGGAUGAUAUUUUGAACCGCAUGGUUCAAAAGUGAAAGACGGUCUUGCUGUCACUUAUAGAUGGAUCCGCGCUGCAUUAGCUAGUUGGUAAGGUAACGGCUUACCAAGGCAACGAUGCAUAGCCGACCUGAGAGGGUGAUCGGACACACUGGAACUGAGACACGGUCCAGACUCCUACGGGAGGCAGCAGUAGGGAAUCUUCCGCAAAGGGCGAAAGCCUGACGGAGCAACGCCGCGGGAGUGAUGAAGGUCUUCGGAUCGGAAAACUCUGUUAUUAGGGAAGAACAUAUGUGUAAGUAACUGUGCACAUCUUGACGGUACCUAAUCAGAAAGCCACGGCUAACUACGUG
rnacentral:rRNA from 1 species